CCUACGGGUGGCAGCAGUCGAGAAUCAUUCACAAUGGGGGAAACCCUGAUGGUGCGACGCCGCGUGGGGGAAUGAAGGUCUUCGGAUUGUAAACCCCUGUCAUGUGGGAGCAAAUUAAAAAGAUAGUACCACAAGAGGAAGAGACGGCUAACUCUGUGCCAGCAGCCGCGGUAAUACAGAGGUCUCAAGCGUUGUUCGGAAUCACUGGGCGUAAAGCGUGCGUAGGCUGUUUCGUAAGUCGUGUGUGAAAGGCGCGGGCUCAACCCGCGGACUGCACAUGAUACAGUGGAACUAGAGUGAUGGAGGGGGAGCCGGAAUUCUCGGUGUAGCAGUGAAAUGCGUAGAUAUCGAGAGGAACACUCAUGGCGAAGGCAGGUUCCUGGACAUUAACUGACGCUGAGGCACGAAGGCCAGGGGAGCGAAAGGGAUUAGAUACCCCGAUAGUC
rnacentral:rRNA from 1 species